UACGUAGGGGGCAAGCGUUGUCCGGAUUUACUGGGCGUAAAGAGCGUGUAGGCGGCCACGCAGGUCCGUUGUGAAAACUGGAGGCUCAACCUCCAGACGUCGACGGAAACCGUAUGGCUAGAGUCCGGAAGAGGAGAGUGGAAUUCCUGGUGUAGCGGUGAAAUGCGCAGAUAUCAGGAGGAACACCGGUGGCGAAGGCGGAUCUCUGGCCUUACCUGACGCUCGAGGUGCGAAGCUAGGGAGCGAACAGG
rnacentral:rRNA from 1 species